rnacentral:lncRNA from 10 species
AGACACCCUGCGUCCCUCCCUUGCUCGCAGCAGUUGCUGUGGCGGUCCUCCCGUGCACCCCCCCUUCUGCCCUCACUGCCCCUGGGGGUCCUCAUCACGGACCCCCUAACUCGGCAUCCUGGACACCACCACCCCGCACCUUUCCACAGUGCAGCUCUGCUCGUGCCUGUGAAGCCUCCCACAGCCUGGGAAGGAAAAUCCAGACUUGCCAGACCUUGCCUCAGCCAGGCCUUGGAAGCCUGCCAGCUUACCUAACCAGACCCUCAGCCCAUGGAGUCCUGUGUGAUGUUGUGAGCGUGGGAGGACAGACUGAACUGCUCGGCCCGUGGAGUCCUGUGUGAUGUUCUCAACGGCAGCUAAAGCCACUGCAUACAAUGCAAGGACUGGCUCCUGUUUGGCCACGACUGAUUGCAGCCCCUGGUGAAAUGAGAACCCUGUGGGUCGGAACAAAGUUUGGAUUAUUUAUGUUGCAAGUAACUAAAAUCUCAAGUGAAACUGGUUUAAACA